AUGGUGAAGAAUAUAGCAAGGAGUGAGGACACUCGCAGUUUGGAAGAAACUAUGAACAAGGUUUGGACAUUUUUGAAUAUUAGAGCAUGGGUUGGAAAUAUGAGAUAUGUAAUAGGAUUUGGAAAUGUUUAUAGUGGUGAGAUAAAAGAAGGCAAUAAAGUUGCAGUUCAGAUGCUUUAUGCAUCUUCAACUCAGGCCCGACGAGAUUUCAAACUGAGAGGACUUAUCUCUCAAUCUCAGACCUGGGAGAAUUUGAUUCAUAGUAAUAUGUUUAAAGCUAGAGAGAUAUACUUGGAGCUCUGCAUUAGUGAUCAAAAGGUCGAGUGGAGGAAUCUGUUCAUUGGUAAACUAUGCUAG